ACUCCUACGGGAGGCAGCAGUGGGGAAUAUUGCACAAUGGGCGCAAGCCUGAUGCAGCCAUGCCGCGUGUGUGAAGAAGGCCUUCGGGUUGUAAAGCACUUUCAGUCGUGAGGAAGGUAGUGUAGUUAAUAGCUGCAUUAUUUGACGUUAGCGACAGAAGAAGCACCGGCUAACUCCGUGCCAGCAGCCGCGGUAAUACGGAGGGUGCGAGCGUUAAUCGGAAUUACUGGGCGUAAAGCGCAUGCAGGUGGUUUGUUAAGUCAGAUGUGAAAGCCCGGGGCUUAACCUCGGAAUUGCAUUUGAAACUGGCAGGCUAGAGUCUUGUAGAGGGGGGUAGAAUUUCAGGUGUAGCGGUGAAAUGCGUAGAGAUCUGAAGGAAUACCAGUGGCGAAGGCGGCCCCCUGGACAAAGACUGACGCUCAGAUGCGAAAGCGUGGGGAGCAAACAGGAUUAGAUACCCUGGUAGGAUAGCG
rnacentral:rRNA from 1 species